UCAUAUGCUUGUCUCAAAGAUUAAGCCAUGCAUGUCUAAGUACAUACCGUAUUAAGGUGAAACCGCGAAUGGCUCAUUAAAUCAGUUAUGAUUCAUUGGAUGUUGACUAGUUACAUGGAUAACUGUGGUAAUUCUAGAGCUAAUACAUGCUAAAAAACUUCGUUUCGGCGGAGUGCAUUUAUUAGACCAAGACCAAAGGUGCUUGCACCUUUUAGUGGUGACUCUGGAUAACUGCAGCCGAUCGCAUGGCCUCGUGCCGGCGACAUAUCCUUCGAGUGUCUGCCUUAUCAACUUUCGAUGGUAGGUUAUAUGCCUACCAUGGUUGUAACGGGUAACGGGGAAUCAGGGUUCGAUUCCGGAGAGGGAGCCUGAGAGACGGCUACCACAUCCAAGGAAGGCAGCAGGCGCGCAAAUUACCCACUCUCAGAACGAGGAGGUAGUGACGAAAAAUAACAAUACGGGUAUCGCUUACGCGUUCUCGUAAUUGGAAUGAGUACAGUUUAAAUCCUUUAACGAGGAUCAAUUGGAGGGCAAGUCUGGUGCCAGCAGCCGCGGUAAUUCCAGCUCCAAUAGCGUAUAUUAAAGUUGUUGUGGUUAAAAAGCUCGUAGUUGGAUCUCAGCUCAUAUGUGGUGGUCCACCUUGCCGGUGGUUACUGCCACAUUGAGCAGUUUGCCGUAUUUGGUGGYGGUGUUCUUCAUUGAAUGUCRUCACUGGUCGGCACGUUUACUUUGAAAAAAUUAGAGUGCUCAAAGCAGGCAUUUAGCCUGAAUACUGUUGCAUGGAAUAAUAGAAUAGGACCUUGGUUCUGUUCUGUUGGUCUUCGGAAUCGAGGUAAUGAUUAAGAGGGACGGACGGGGACAUUAGUACUGCGGCGAUAGAGGUGAAAUUCUUGGACCGCCGCAUGACUAACUAAAGCGAAAGCAUUUGUCAAGAACGUUUUCAUUAAUCAAGAACGAAAGUUAGAGGUUCGAAGGCGAUCAGAUACCGCCCUAGUUCUAACCAUAAACGAUGCCAACCAGCAAUCAGCCAGAGCUUGAAAAUGACUCGGCUGGCGGCUUCCGGGAAACCAAAGUUUUUCGGUUCCAGGGGAAGUAUGGUUGCAAAGCUGAAACUUAAAGGAAUUGACGGAAGGGCACCACCAGGAGUGGAGCCUGCGGCUUAAUUUGACUCAACACGGGAAAACUCACCCGGUCCGGACACUGGAAGGAUUGACAGAUUAAGAGCUCUUUCUUGAUUCAGUGGGUGGUGGUGCAUGGCCGUUCUUAGUUGGUGGAGCGAUUUGUCUGGUUAAUUCCGAUAACGAACGAGACUCUAGCCUACUAAAUAGUGACUGAUAUUCAUAUGACUAUCAGUUCGCUUCUUAGAGGGACAAACGGCGUUUCAGCCGUAUGAAAAAGAGCAAUAACAGGUCUGUGAUGCCCUUAGAUGUCCGGGGCCGCACGCGCGCUACACUGAAAAGAUCAGCGUGCAUGUGUUGCCUACUCCGAAAGGAGUGGGAAACCCAGUGAAACUUUUUCGUGAUUGGGAUUGGGGAUUGUAAUUAUUGUCCAUGAACGAGGAAUUCCCAGUAAGCACAAGUCAUCAGCUUGUGUUGAUUACGUCCCUGCCCUUUGUACACACCGCCCGUCGCUACUACCGAUUGGAUGUUUUAGUGAGGUCUUCGGACUGGCUGACGUAGCUGCCUUUGGUGGCCAUGUUAUGCGGGGAAGAUGACCAAACUUGAACAUCUAGAGGAAGUAAAAGUCGUAACAAGGUUUCCGU
rnacentral:rRNA from 1 species